CUACGGGAGGCUGCAGUGGGGAAUAUUGCGCAAUGGGCGAAAGCCUGACGCAGCAACGCCGCGUGGGUGAUGAAGGUCUUCGGAUUGUAAAACCCUGUCGUUAGGGACGAAGGUUAUUAACCUAAUACGUUAAUAACUUGACGGUACCUAGAAAGGAAGCCCCGGCUAACUCUGUGCCAGCAGCCGCGGUAAUACAGAGGGGGCAAGCGUUAUUCGGAAUUAUUGGGCGUAAAGAGCGCGUAGGCGGUAUUUUAAGUGAGAUGUGUAAUCCCCGAGCUUAACUUGGGAACUGCAUCUCAGACUGGAAUGCUAGAGUAUCGGAGAGGGUGGUAGAAUUCCACGUGUAGCGGUGAAAUGCGUAGAGAUGUGGAGGAAUACCAGUGGCGAAGGCGGCCACCUGGACGGUAACCGACGCUGAGGUGCGAAAGUGUGGGUAGCAAACAGGAUUAGAUACCCUCGUAGUC
rnacentral:rRNA from 1 species